rnacentral:rRNA from 1 species
GACGAACGCUGGCGGCGUGCUUAACACAUGCAAGUCGAACGGUAAGGCCCUUCGGGGUACACGAGUGGCGAACGGGUGAGUAACACGUGGGUGAUCUGCCCUGCACUUCGGGAUAAGCAUGGGAAACUGGGUCUAAUACCGGAUAGGACCCUGGGAUGCAUGUCCUGGGGGGGAAAGCUUUUGCGGUGUGGGAGGGGCCAGCGGCCUAUGAGCUUGUUGGUGGGGUGAUGGCCGCUCAGGGCGCCGACGGGUCGCCGGCGUGAGGGGGUGACCGGCCACAGUGGGACUGAGAUACGCCCCAGACUCCUACGGGAGGCAGCAGUGGGGAAUAUUGCACAAUGGGCGCAAGCGUGAUGAAGCGACGCCGCGUGAGGGAUGACGGCCUUCGGGUUGUAAACCUCUUUCAGCACCGACGAAGCGCAAGUGACGGUAGGUGCAGAAGAAGGACCGGCCAACUACGUGCCAGCAGCCGCCGUAA